UGAUAAUGAUCUAAUGCAUCAGCAAUUUGCUCUAGUUUACGUUUUGCCGACACGGAUGCAGCACCAAUUGCAGACCCUCUCAUGUCAUCAACACUAGAACCAGCACCAAUUACCUGGCUUUGGGAGAAAUGGAAUGAAGUGGCCGUUGCUUCAUGAGGAGAAAAGAAUUCAAGAUGAAAUUCAGGAGCUUAACCCGUUAAUUGCAAAUUCAGGAGGUUACAGUCAUCCAUAAUACAAUCGGCUUGGCGGAAGCAUUCCAGGUUCAUUUCAGAAGCUAAUUUCCCAAACAUAUCGAGGAACGUCAGAUAACAGAUUUACUCCAAGAAUUACUAACAUCAUCAAUUGGAGCAUAUGCCUUGUGUACUUGGAUCACCCAGUUACUCCUGGUUGCCAGCAAAGGAUUGAGUGCUCAUUGAUAUCCCCAAAUUUUAUUUACA